rnacentral:rRNA from 1 species
UUAGCUUAUUAAAAGGGAUCCAAGGCAGGGACGUUUUAAAAAAGAAAGAAAAGCUGCGUGGGACGUUUUAAAAAGAUAACGAGGCGUCUAAAAGUAAAGCAAAGUGUGUAGGGGGACUAAGGACGCGGAACACGGGACGGGGGGAGCUUUCGAACAUGCGUGCGGACUAAGGGCCUCUUUGUUAAUAGGGCGCGGGCACGCUUCGAUUGGUUAGUUACUUGAUUAGUAGCUUCGGACGUCCGUUAAAUUGUUUCGGUUCGUCAUGCCGCCGGUCGCGCGAGGCGGUGACGGGUGACCGGUGUCGUGCCGCGAGAGCGCAUGAUAAUAUAACGAGAAAGGCAGCGAGGCGGGCUCAUAAAAGGAGAGGAGCCCUCGACGAGGUAAGCCGGGAGGAGGGAGGGAGGGUAGGAGCGGCAGCUGGGCGGCUACGGGGGGCCCGCCGCCGCGGCCUCCGCCCCCGUGGUCACUGACUGGCCCGGCGCCUGCUACCGCCGCGGCCUCCCGAGACCGCGGCCGCCGCCCCUCCCCCGCUCCCCGUCGUUCCACUUGGUCCUCGACACCAUGCGCACGCGCCCCGGCGACCACCGCGACGGCGGCGGCCCCUCGGAGCACCAGAUGAAGGGCGUCCCUGUGUCGCUCGUCCACCGUCGUAGAUACGCUUUCCUACGUCUGCGCGUCUAAGGUUCGAUAGGUUUAGAAGGUAGUUUCGACUAUACGUAGGAGGUGUCGCAGUGAUACGUCAGACUAGGACUGUGCCUACUUCAAAUACGAGCCUACUGAGAGGUCGGUCAAUCGUUACACUGUGUCACACUGUUCCUCUAUAACGACCGCAGUCUCGAACGGGACUUUGUUUUGUUCGGUGUUUGUCUUAAGAAGACGUUUUGUAACUGGCGCUCACUAUGCUCGUGAGUACCUCCUAAGAGGCACGGUGCCGCACGACGUCUCUCCUAAAAGGGAGCAGAACUUGAGGUCCGGUCCCUAAAUGUACUAUGGUAAACCUGUAAGGCAGUAUAUAAAUCUCCGGUCGGAUUUUCCGUAGAAAACUGAUGACCGACCUCGGAUAAAUAAUCACCUUUCUCUGAAGAACGACCACUAAGUCAGAAUAAAUAAUCCCUACGUUUUGUCGUCGAGGAGAACCCCUAGUCCGCUCGUUUAUCCGUUGGAUGAUUGGAGAGUAGUAGACAGAACAGAUCACUAUCGUACGUAUAGCCUCAAGAACGACGACGUCGAGUACGUCGUCGUUUAUUGUCGGUUAAAUGUUAUAAGAUAUUGGGUUCCCGAUCAGGAAGUCUUAAACACUAAGGAAAACGGUUCAUGGUCUUCCGUCAAAUACCGUUGGUUAAUAGAGAACCGUACGCCAAAUCUUACUACAAACUUUGGCUUCUUAGACCUUGUUCUUCCAUGUACCCAUGUUAUUGACCGUAUUCACUAGACCUAGGACAUUCCACCUUUUUGAGAGUCACCGCGUUAUAAGUCCAACGUACCCUACUUCGUCGUGGUUCACUUUCUGCGUGGUCCCAAAGGGAAACCCUGUAACUUGGACAGUAGCGAGGAAAGAAGUAGAUAGGGUGUGGUAAUAAGUGGCGUUUCACACGCUCCGUUGGACCCUACUAUCUACUACUAUGGAGACCUUACCUAUUACAAAAAUUCUCUUGGUACGGUACCGAACCACUCCUCUAUACGUUCUUUCUAUACUUAUGAGUCUUGUCGUAUCACGGACCAGAUUUGAAUCGAGUCAGUGAAGUCACCUACUUAUACGUCGUCUUGAACAGUGAUCGACCGUGUCAAUACGUUGGUCUCAACGAUUUGAGUAAUCGACCGUUUGUACACGUUUUAAACAGACGUCGACUAUAUAGUUCCGUUUAGUCGAAGGUCGGGGUUAAGGACGUUGUUUUAUUAUAGGUCAAGUCGUGGAGCAAUGAUGGAGUCGUUUUAGUUGUCCGACUUGUCAAUCGCUUUCGAUAUCCAUGUGGUUUGGUUGACCCUUUAUAAUACCAUGGUGUCUUCCAUCUAGUUCUAACGUUAAGACUGGUCUUCGUCGUAUGUCAAUGAGUUAGUCACGUUCCGUCGGUCCGUUUGAAUUUGCAGUGUGUCGGACUUGUACAACAGGUUCGAGUCAAGGUCGUUGGAGCUCACUAAGAGGUCCGAGUUGAGGUCGUUGUCGUUGGAGACCAGGUCUCAGUAUGUCAGAAAGUCCCUCCGGAAGUCGUUUAGGUCCAGGACGUCGUUGUCGUUGGUGUAAACGUCGUUGUCGAUGUUGUCGUUGUUGGAGUUGUAGUAGUCGUCCAAGUUGUGAGUCAUGUCCUCGUCGUCGUUUACUUCUGUGUUGGACAAGUACACAGGUCACUACACUUGUACUUAUGUGUUGAUAGACUAGUAGUUUACUUUGAAGUUAAUAAUUUCCGAGAUGUAAGUGUCGUUGUAGACUGGUACCUCGUCGUCUUUUACGAAAAACUAAACGUCGUUGUUCACCAUUUAAGAGUCAGUCUAGGAGUCGUUACACACGUUCCUCGAUGGGUUUGACAACCAAAAGUGUUGUCCUUGUGGUAGGUCAUACGUUGCGUUGUUUUCCGUGUCAGAGUGGUUGGCCAACUUCUAAGCGGAUCCCCAUGGUAAGGGCAACGUUUUAGUCUACAGCAAUGGAGGUACCCACGAUCGAGAAACUUACACCGACCAGCUUACGUCAGCCACUCCUGUCUAUUACAAGGCAGAAGCAGUUGUAGUGGUAGUGGUAGGUGACGGUGAUUAGUGCAAGAAAACGUCAGGUAGGGUUCAUCGAGGUUCUUGGUCUCAAAUGGUUGACGUCGUUUUUGUAGAGUUAGUAGACAACAGAACCCGGGAUGUUAACUUGUCCUUUACUUCAGAAUGGUCUCACAAUUCGGUUGUUAUUACUAAGGGUUCUACUAACUUGUUCCCGGUCGAUGACUUGCUCUGAUGUAUUUGUUGGGGGUGUACCUAAUGAACCUAUGUAGGAGGAGUCGAUGAAGCCAAACGGAAAGAGUCCGACUACCUAGUAACGUUGUUUUGAAAGGUAGAAGUAGGAAGCUAGUCGUAGUCGACAACUCCCUGUGUCGAGGUCUAUCACUCAAACUCUAAAGUCUAGGUUGUUUAUUGGAAGAUAAACCCCACUUGUAACUACCAGUUGACCCGAAUGGUGAAUUACGUCUACGGAACGAACGUUUAUCGUAACUUUUACUAUUUAAGUACCUACUCUACCGACCUUUACCGUAAAGAUUGAUGUAAAGUAGAUUCCUAAGAGUUGUUCUCAAUAGUAGAAGUUACUAAAGUGUAAGUGAACCUCAACGACUGUACCCUAAGUUAAGAUAUCUAAGACGUUAGUUACUAGGGAGUAAGGAUUUAUCUUUAAGGUCCCGUGGUCGAGGACGUGUAGUUGCGUACGCUUGAAUGUGGUUCCACGUGUUUGCACCACGACAUCCCUCUAGAUAGCUGUACUUGGCAAUAAGUCCCAUACUACUUGACUUCGUACUGUAACGCGCCUACAAACCAUAGCUCCCCGUCGAACCACUGGUUUCAUCUCAACCGACCUUUGAUCAUAUACUUCUAGUACUCUUCCUACAAGAUGAUCAACCACUACUGGGUACCCUCCUAAAAGACUUGACGCAUGCCACGUAGUCCUAAGAAAGAGGUGUCCUUCUUUACGUUUACUCUAACCAACCACUGAAACCUCUGCCGAAAGAUGGGUUGGUCCGGACGUCGUCGAGUCUACCCCCAGUUGGAACCAUUGACUCUAGUGUACAUACUUACUGGUUACAUCAAAGACCACGACGCCCCUGGCUGUAAAAAGAGGAGGGACAGUCAGAAUACUUAUGUCUACGACUCCUACCGUCAACUGCUAUUAAAUCCGAAACUUUAAGGUUCCAGCUCGCUUGUACUUAUAUUCCUUGUUAAGUAUGAAAAACAGAGACAACAUCAGAACAUCAGGAGUACAAAACAACCGGAACGUUAGAUGUAUCGGUUGGGUAUAAAAGACGACGGUACAUCAUAUACAGUAACAACGGACUACAUUGUCAAACGGUGUAUGAGUCUACAGUUGAUGACAUUGAACGCCAAGAUUUACUUCUUUAGCAUAAGAGGGGAACAAGUACU